rnacentral:sRNA from 2 species
UGGAAGAUCACGCCGAAUCGGCCGCCUUCGACAGCGCCGAACCGGGGACCCAGGUUCGUUGGGGUGAAUCCCGAUCGUGGUUCGUUCCACGGUCGGGUAGGGCUACUUCCUGGCCCGAAUCCGUCAGCUAACCCGGUAGGCGUCGAGGAGGAAAGGU